CGAAUCUCGAGACGAGAUUCUUUUAAGGGGGGAGGAUUGUAACACCCUAGGUGUUAUUUACCUUUAGCAUAUGGUCGGUCGCUAGUACUAAUCAUGUAUGCAUAAAGGCAUUAAAUAAAUUUUUCUGGCAUUUUAGCACAUGCAGUGAUGAAUUUUAUUUAAAAAUGUUUUCCAAUAAGAGCUCAUAUCAUAUUUCAUUUAAGUUAUAUUGAAAAUGCAUAAGUAUGAAAAAUAGUAAAUUCAUCACAAAAUAUUGUUUUGAAUGCCAACUGACUUAAUUAUAAUCCUACUAUCCUAGAGUGAAGUGAAUUUCUCGGUUCCAUGAUUUUGUGCUUGCAAGUGCCUACAGACAUUAGCAUGUUAUAGUUAUCUACGUUGACAGCUUUAGGUAGUCAUCAAAUUUUCAUCAUUUUAUUUUCCAGUAGAGAUCCUCUAAAUUUUGGCCCACACGUCAGCCCCAAACUCCCUCUUCCUCCCCUGCACUCACACGCACAGCACAUUAGCUCCUUCCAGCUCUCUGUUCCGUUCCCCUCUCUCUGGCUCUCUGCUACCUACAGCAGAAACUGAGCAGCGGCAACCAAAUCCACCACCAGCAACCAUAGAUCCUCCCUCCAGCUACCUCCAUGCCAUCCUCCCUGCUGUCCUAGUGCGAUUCCUCCCAUUUUUCCCCUUCGGAUUUGACCUCUGGUGUGCUCUAUUUCGAUGACCUAGCUCUAUUCCUCUUUUCCAAUCUUCAUCACUCGUACGUGCUGCAGCUCCGGCCAUAGCUUGUGCCUACAGCUCGAUGUUGCUCCACCAAGAUGAGGGAGGUGGAAACUCAGGCUGGCUAAGCCAUGGUGAAGUACUGAUGAUUGGGUGUGGUGUGCAGAUCAUGUAGCUGAGGACGUGGUGAACCAAAUCGUGGCUGACCAAAAAGAGAAGAACCAGCUGGAGCAGUCUGAGGACCCGGCCAAGGCCAGUAGGGCUCAAGAUCUUGGUAGUACUAACACUGAGCAGUAAAAAG